GACGAACGCUGGCGGCGUGCUUAACACAUGCAAGUCGAACGGUAAGGCCCCUUCGGGGGUACCCGAGUGGCGAACGGGUGAGUAACACGUGAGCAACCUGCCCUUGACUCUGGAAUAACAGUUGGAAACAGCUGCUAAUACUGGAUAUUCAUCUUCUCCUUCCUGGGGGGUGGUGGAAAGCUCCGGCGGUCAGGGAUGGGCUCGCGGCCUAUCAGCUUGUUGGUGUGGUAAUGGCUCGCCAAGGCUUCGACGGGUAGCCGGCCUGAGAGGGCGACCGGCCACACUGGGACUGAGAUACGGCCCAGACUCCUACGGGAGGCAGCAGUGGGGAAUAUUGCACAAUGGGCGCAAGCCUGAUGCAGCAACGCCGCGUGCGGGAUGACGGCCUUCGGGUUGUAAACCGCUUUCAGUAGGGACGAAGGGUGACUGACGGUACCUACAGAAGAAGGACCGGCUAACUACGUG
rnacentral:rRNA from 1 species